UGCACUCCAGCCUGGGUGGCAGAGCCAGACUCCAUCUCAAAAACGAAAAACCAAACAACCCACAAACACCUGCAGAAAGAGGUUCCCAGACUUCAGUUGCUUUGAUUCAUGCAUCUGGAUGAAGCAAAAAGAAAAUGUGACAACUUGUCACUGCAAGAACUUAAAAACACCCUCCAGUGGGGCUGCACCAGGCCACCUCACUUUAGAGUGUGCACAGCUUCCCAUCAGAGAUAAAAGCUGUGACUCCAGGCUCCUAAAUACCUUUUUGAUAAGGGCUUUCCUUUUGGCCACCAGCAGAUGAUCGGGUGAUGGUGUUACUACUGCCAACUCCUACAGAGCCCAAGCCCAUGAGAUCUUUUAGACGUUCAUUCUUUGCAGCUUAAAAAAAUAAUAAUUUAAAAAAUUUUCCCCUUCUCAUUUGGAAAGUUUGUGUAUUUUCUAAUUUUUCUCGAAUGAGAAAAGGGUGCUGACAUGCCUAGGUUUAAGUGGAAAUGCGGGGCCAGUUAACACAGGACUCCUCACAGGACGCCUUAUGUCACUGGCAAAACACGAGGAAGAGAGAAAUAUAAUAAAUAAAGAAACAAACAAAA